rnacentral:rRNA from 1 species
UACGGAGGGUGCAAGCGUUAUCCGGAAUCACUGGGUUUAAAGGGUGCGUAGGCGGCUUAAUAAGUCAGAGGUGAAAGGCUGUGGCUCAACCAUGGGAUUGCCUUUGAUACUGUUAGGCUUGAAUCAGGCUGAGGUUGGCAGAAUGUGGCAUGUAGCGGUGAAAUGCAUAGAUAUGCCAGAGAAUACCGAUUGCGAAGGCAGCUGACUGGCCCUUGUUUGACGAUGAGGCACGAAAGAGUGGGGAGCGAACAGG